rnacentral:rRNA from 1 species
UGACGGUAACUUACCAGAAAGGGACGGCUAACUACGUGCCAGCAGCCGCGGUAAUACGUAGGUCCCGAGCGUUGUCCGGAUUUAUUGGGCGUAAAGCGAGCGCAGGCGGUUUAAUAAGUCUGAAGUUAAAGGCAGUGGCUUAACCAUUGUUCGCUUUGGAAACUGUUAGACUUGAGUGCAGAAGGGGAGAGUGGAAUUCCAUGUGUAGCGGUGAAAUGCGUAGAUAUUAGGAGGAACACCAGUGGCGAAGGCGGCUUACUGGACGGUAACUGACGUUGAGGCUCGAAAGCGUGGGGAGCAAACAGGAUUAGAUACCCUG